rnacentral:sRNA from 1 species
UUUUUGCGUGAGGGAUUGAAGUGGAGCUCUUUUUAUAUUUGGCACUUUUACCAAAUAUAAAAAAGCGGGAACGGAAAGCCCGACCCAGA